GUCAAGUUGACACUCCCUACAGCACCGUUCCAUUCCAGCUGCUUUCAUAAUUCUCCUCUUGUUUCCAAUUUUCAUAAAUUUGAUUAUGAGAGGUCCCGGUGUAGAUUUUCUUAUGCUUGUAUUUAUGUCUGGGAUUUGCUGUUUCCUGAAUCAGGAAGUUUAUAUCUUCUGCCAAAUUUGGGGAAAUUUCAGGAAUCAUUUCUAUGAGUGUUUUCUCAGUUCCAUGCCCUUUGACUUCACUGAAGGUGAGAACUGGACAAGAACCAGCUGGACUUGGGCUGAGUGAAGGGAGAUGGGAGCACUCCUGGGCGUGAAAUGAGCUGGGAACCCAGCAACCGGCUGAUUCAAGGAAGUCUUUCCAUCAGGCUGCAGGCCUGGGCUGUGAGGGUUCCACAGGAAUACAGCGUUUAGUACAGGAAUUGUCAAGACUCAGGAAUCAGGUCUUGACACUGCAGGUGGCAGAUCAGCGAAACACAAUCAUAAGCCCAUUCUAGUAAAUAGUGUAUCAAAUGGUAACCCAAAGUGAUCCAGAGAUCAGAGAUAUAAUUUCCAGUCUAGAAAGAAGUGAUGAUGAUGAUGAUGAUGAUGACGACGAUGAUGGUGUCAUCUUUACCUCAGGUAAUCCGGGAAAGGUGAUUAAUAUUACAUUUAGGGCUGUAAACUUUAGGGCCAACAACUUUGAAGUUACUGUGAACUUUGAAUGUGUUAUCU
rnacentral:lncRNA from 1 species